rnacentral:miRNA from 1 species
CUAUGGUGCUUAGUUCCAUA